UCAAGAGGUAACUAUCACCCAGGACAAUUACUGAGCCCGGAGUCACUGCUCACGCUGCUUCAAGAGGUAACUAUCACCCAGGACAAUUACUGAGCCCGGAGUCACUGCUCACGCUGCUUCAAGAGGUAACUAUCACCCAGGACAAUUACUGAGCCCGGAGUCACUGCUCACGCUGCUUCAAGAGGUAACUAUCACCCAGGACAAUUACUGAGCCCGGAGUCACUGCUCACGCUGCUUCAAGAGGUAACUAUCACCCAGGACAAUUACUGAGCCCGGAGUCACUGCUCACGCUGCUUCAAGAGGUAACUAUCAACCAGGACAAUUACUGAGCCCGGAGUCACUGCUCACGCUGCUUCAAGAGGUAACUAUCACCCAGGACAAUUACUGAGCCCGGAGUCACUGCUCACGCUGCUUCAAGAGGUAACUAUCACCCAGGACAAUUACUGAGCCCGGAGUCACUGCUCACGCUGCUUCAAGAGGUAACUAUCACCCAGGACAAUUACUGAGCCCGGAGUCACUGCUCACGCUGCUUCAAGAGGUAACUAUCAACCAGGACAAUUACUGAGCCCGGAGUCACUGCUCACGCUGCUUCAAGAGGUAACUAUCACCCAGGACAAUUACUGAGCCCGGAGUCACUGCUCACGCUGCUUCAAGAGGUAACUAUCACCCAGGACAAUUACUGAGCCCGGAGUCACUGCUCAUGCUGCUUCAAGAGACUAUGUGGUUUAUAGAAAAAAUAGUUACGUGGGUUCAAGAAAAAAAAAAAAAGUUGAAGAUUAUCCACAAUGCUGUACAUCAUAAAACAAAACAGAAUAUUUCUAUAUUCAUAAAACAGUGGAACAUGCUUUUAUUUUCACUCCAAGAGAAUUCAAACGUUGUGCUUUUGUUACGUGUGUAAAGUCAAAAUUGUAUAAGACAGCAAAUAACUGGUUGGGCAGUGCAUGUGAACGAUGUCGAUGGAUCCCGUACUCCCCUCCCACACUGCACAGCACAAGGGGUUUCCCAGCCCCAACUGCAGACUGCGCUGCGCAUGCGCUUUCCUCUGUUGGCCGGUGAUCCGUGCCGAGUAGAGCGGAGAAGUCAUUUUGGAAAGAAUAAAUAAAUAAAUAAAGAAGGAAGAAUGUCUUUGGAAUAGAAACUGUCCAGCCGAAACAAACUAAAAAACAACAAAACAAAAAAUAACACCUCAACCGAAAUAUUGGAUCUUCUUCUUUUAGGCUUGAUAAGGUGAACAUUUGUGAAUGUGUUUUUUUGUUGUUGUUUUAAGAUAAUAUAUGUAUGUAGGAAUACAUUUACAUAGAAUAAGAUUGACAUUUUUGCUACGUGAGCUCAGUAGUUCGCGGGCUGGGUGUUUAGCUGGAAUUUAAAGAGGUUUGUUUUUCAGCAGUACGCUUUGUGUGUGUUGUGAAAUGGCGCCGCUCUGUCAUCUCCGCCUGCAGCCUGUCUCUGUUACUGUAAGAUUGACAACUCAGGUAUGCAAUGGGAAACGUCACGCCAGCUGUCGGGCAAGGUAAUUGGCUGCCGAUGACAUCACCUCGGAGAGAGUGUGGGCGGGCUCUGAGCUGCCGGCGCCAUUAGGUGGAAGUGCAGGGGUGGGAGUGAUGUGUGGGUACAGAGUUUGUUAUUUUUGACAUACAAAUAUAUGGAAACUGAAGCGCAGAAAUGUGUAUACUUAACGCCACGUUCCAUUGGUGUAGUCUUUCAUCGGCGAAACGGGACGGCGUAUCUUGAAUGAACUCGAGUCGCUGUUGUAUAAGAUGGCGCCGGAGGCUCCCCGAGGGGUUCGUCGGGAGCGAGCAGCGCGGGGGCGAGACUCGGCGCGCUCCCUGCACCAAGCGCGGGCACGAGGCGACGGGCAAGAAGCCAAGACCAUAGACAGCAGGCUAAACGACCUUUCUGACCGUGCAUUGAUGCCUUAUAAAACCGCAGAUUUCAGUGACUCAUUUAAGUCUGUGCGACUCAAGCAGAGAAUUGCAUUGCAGGCUAUUUCUAAUGAGGGAGGGAGGAUUGGUUCGCUGCAGGAAGAGUGCUUAAGCGUGACGUGGAAAUGACGUUCCCCAGUGCAAUGACUCCUAACUCUCUCCCUCAGCCUCUGUUUACAAUGCACUGAGUGCAGUAUCAAUGCACAGUGUGCUCUGGAAACGCUGGAGUAGGACCCACACACACACGCACACACAGAGGUACUUACUGCUAGCCUCAGAAAUCUGUACAGAAGAUGUAAGACUGAAUGGAAUGGAGUAUGAUGUUGGUAUUUACUAUACCCGGAAUACCUCACUAUUUUGACAAAUUUUAAAACGUUACAUUUAAAUUUCCGUUUUGAACCCUUUGUAUCAUAAAAUAAUGACAUAUUAUAACAAUAUAAUGGUUUGUGUCUGUCGAUCCCUCCUCUAAGCACACUGGAGAUGGGACAGUGUCUUCUUCCAUUCUGCCUGUUUGAUCAGCCUGUAUUGGGAUGAGCCACACGCUUUGUAGAGCAUUUUACAGCACUGUGGAAUUAACCUGCAUUGCAUAACCUGCCCACCUUUGCUCUGAGGCGCUGCUGCAGUGCAGGGAUUUCCUCGUGCUGUGUAGUGCUCUGCAUAUCCCAGCAGGGUACAGGGAGGUCAAUGCAGUGUUUGCUCAAGCAGAAAGUUUGAACCCUUUUGUUUCAAAAGAAAAGAAAAAUUCAAUAACUGUUGGAAGUUACAAAACGAUUGAGAAAUGUCUUUGGUGCCCAACAGCAGCCCUUCUUGACAAACAAUCUCUGACACAGUCACACGUUAUUCUUUAUAUUCCUUUAGGAAACAGAAAGGCCCGCCCCGCACGGCCACGCUGGCGCUCACACUGCUGUGGCAUCCUCAGAACUGGCAGUCAGAGCGAACGGAGAUGGCACACAACAAACAGAUGCACUAGGAAAUAAACCAACAGCAACCACAAGCAUACUGAUUAGAAUCACUCCUGAAGAACAGAAUGCUGCCAUCUAGGGGGUCGCACAGUACUGCACGUCUCGUGGAUUUGGGAGACUGUGUUGAUUUGUGCUCUUUCUCCUUUACAAAUCCUUCCAGGCUGUGAUACACUUCCGCACUGAAGAGAUGGGAGGCGGGUUUGUUUAAAUGAGAAUGAUCCUGGUAACAGAGAGAGCAGCCUGUGAUCACUGCAGAGGCUGAGUGCUGGGGCUCACCUGCUGGGGACACUGCUGUUCAAGAAGUUUAUUAAACUUCUAUUGAUUCUCAUUAGCGAUUGUGUCUCUGUAGCGCUGCCUCGGUAUUGCACCUUUGCUUUGGGUGGCUCCCCGUUUGUCCUGUAUAGGGGCCCUUCACUAAUUCACUGUUUUCAAUAUCUCUAUAUCUAUAUACAGUUUUUCGUUUGGUGUGCUAAAUAAAGAGGAUGCCCUGUAUGUGCUGUAAGGGUUAGUAAACCAGCUAUGAGCCAGUGGAAGAGUUUUAACACAUCUUCCCUUGAAUUGCUGUGCUUGGAAGUGAUAUUGUUCAGCCUCCCCCAUGCUUCAUGUUUGAUAUCACACAUGACUCAGAGGAGACACAGCUGUUGGACAGAGUUCAAAGGCUGGGUCUCGAGGUCACAUUAUUACAAGGGAGAGCAGGAAGCUUUGAGGAAAUCACUGUAACUGAAAUACCAUGAGCACAAUUAAUAGAUGUCUUUACAAUACUUCAAGAGCCAGAACUCAGCACUGAGGAUCUGAGAGCCAGCGCAAUCAAUACAGUACAGCAUAGAGAUCACUCUACUGGGGAUAUGAGAGCCAGCGCAAUCAAUACAGUACAGCAUAGAGAUCACUCUACUGGGGAUCUGAGAGCCAGCGCAUUCAAUACAGUACAGCAUAGA